rnacentral:tRNA from 2 species
GAUUAUGAAGUAGAUGGUCUACACUUUGACUGCAAAUCUUAAGUAAGAGGUUCGAAUCCUCCAUAAUCU